rfam:Helianthus annuus linkage group 7, whole genome shotgun sequence.
GGCGAAGAUGAUUGAUUGCUUAAUAUUCUGACACCUCUUGUAUGAGAAUGGCCUUCAAAAGCUGUUCCUUGAGCACAUAAAGCACCUCUCUGAGCC